UACGGAGGGGGCGAGCGUUAUUCGGAAUUAUUGGGCGUAAAGGGCGCGUAGGCGGCUGUACAAGUCAAAGGUGAAAUCCCUCGGCCUCAACUGGAGGAACUGCCUUUGAAACUGUACGGCUUGAGGCCGGGAGGGGGUAGCGGAAUUCCCAGUGUAGCGGUGAAAUGCGUAGAUACUGGGAGGAACACCAGUGGCGAAGGCGGCUACCUGGACCGGUUCUGACGCUGAGGCGCGAAAGCGUGGGUAGCAAACAGG
rnacentral:rRNA from 1 species